ensembl:miRNA
GAUGGGCCCCUUGUGUCCUAAAUUGGGUGGGGGCUCUGAGUGGGGAAAGCGGGGGCCUAGGGGAGGUCACAGUUGGGUCUAGGGGUCAGGAGGGCCCAGGA